rnacentral:rRNA from 1 species
UGAGGAAUAUUGGUCAAUGGACGCAAGUCUGAACCAGCCAAGUAGCGUGCAGGAUGACGGCCCUAUGGGUUGUAAACUGCUUUUAUAUGGGGAUAAAGUGGGGAACGUGUUCCCUUUUUCAGGUACCAUAUGAAUAAGGACCGGCUAAUUCCUUGCCAGCAGCCGCGGUAAUACGGAAUGUUCGGGCGUUAUCCGGAUUUAUUUGGUUUAAAGGGAGCGUAGGCCGUUUGGUAAGCGUGUUGUGAAAUGUAGGAGCUCAACUUCUAGAUUGCAGCGCGAACUGUCAGACUUGAGUGCGCACAACGUAGGCGGAAUUCAUGGUGUAGCGGUGAAAUGCUUAGAUAUCAUGAAGAACUCCGAUUGCGAAGGCAGCUUACGGGAGCGCAACUGACGCUGAAGCUCGAAGGUGCGGGUAUCGAACAGG